rnacentral:rRNA from 1 species
AUUGAACGCUGGCGGCAGGCCUAACACAUGCAAGUCGAGCGGAUGAAGGGAGCUUGCUCCUGGAUUCAGCGGCGGACGGGUGAGUAAUGCCUAGGAAUCUGCCUGGUAGUGGGGGAUAACGUCCGGAAACGGGCGCUAAUACCGCAUACGUCCUGAGGGAGAAAGUGGGGGAUCUUCGGACCUCACGCUAUCAGAUGAGCCUAGGUCGGAUUAGCUAGUUGGUGGGGUAAAGGCCUACCAAGGCGACGAUCCGUAACUGGUCUGAGAGGAUGAGCAGUCACACUGGAACUGAGACACGGUCCAGACUCCUACGGGAGGCAGCAGUGGGGAAUAUUGGACAAUGGGCGAAAGCCUGAUCCAGCCAUGCCGCGUGUGUGAAGAAGGUCUUCGGAUUGUAAAGCACUUUAAGUUGGGAGGAAGGGCAGUAAGUUAAUACCUUGCUGUUUUGACGUUACCAGCAGAAUAAGCACCGGCUAACUUCGUG